ACUCAAAUGAAUAGACGGGGGCUCACACAAGCGGUGGAGGAUGUGGCUUAAUUCGAGGCUACGCGAAGAACCUUAUCCUAGGCUUGACAUGCGGGAUACCGUCCUUGAAAGAGGAGCCGGUUGCCUUCGGGUGAAACCAGCACAGGUGCUGCAUGGCUGUCGUCAGCUCGUGUCGUGAGAUGUCGGGUUAAGUCCCUUAACGAGCGAAACCCCUAUCAUUAGUUGCCAGCGCGUCAAGGCGGGGACUCUAGUGAGACUGCCGAUGUUAAAGAGGAGGAAGGUGGGGAUGACGUCAAGUCCUCAUGGCCCUUAUGCCUAGGGCUGCACACGUCCUACAAUGCCACACACAAAGGGAAGCAACAUCGUGAGAUCAAGCAAAUCCCAAAAAAUGUGGCCCAGUUCGGAUUGUAGUCUGAAAUUCGACUACAUGAAGUCGGAAUCGCUAGUAAUCGCGGGUCAGAAUACCGCGGUGAAUAUGUUCCUGAGCCUUGUACACACCGCCCGU
rnacentral:rRNA from 1 species